rnacentral:rRNA from 1 species
UGUUGGGGUAACGGCCCAACAAGCCGAUAAUCGGUAGGGGUUGUGGGAGCAAGAGCCCGGAGUUGGAUUCUGAGACACGAAUCCAGGCCCUACGGGGCGCAGCAGGCGCGAAAACUUUACAAUGCGGGAAACCGUGAUAAGGGAACCCCGAGUGCCUGUAUAUGCAGGCUGUCCAGGUGUCUAAAAAACACCUGAAGAAAGGGCCGGGCAAGACCGGUGCCAGCCGCCGCGGUAAUACCGGCGGCUCGAGUGGUGGCCACUUUUAUUGGGCUUAAAGCGUUCGUAGCUGGGUUGUUAAGUCUCUUGGGAAAUCUGACGGCUUAACCGUCAGGCGUCUAAGAGAUACUGGCAAUCUUGGAACCGGGAGAGGUGAGGGGUACUUCGGGGGUAGGAGUGAAAUCCUGUAAUCCUCGAGGGACCACCUGUGGCGAAGGCGCAUCACCAGAACGGCUUCGACAGUGAGGGACGAAAGCUGGGGGAGCAAACCGGAUUAGAU